CUACCCUUGACAUGCCACUAACGAAGCAGAGAUGCAUUAGGUGCUCGAAAGAGAAAGUGGACACAGGUGCUGCAUGGCUGUCGUCAGCUCGUGUCGUGAGAUGUUGGGUUAAGUCCCGCAACGAGCGCAACCCUUGUCUCUAGUUGCUACGAAGGGCACUCUAGAGAGACUGCCGGUGACAAACCGGAGGAAGGUGGGGAUGACGUCAAGUCCUCAUGGCCCUUAUGGGUAGGGCUUCACACGUCAUACAAUGGUGCGUACAGAGGGUUGCCAACCCGCGAGGGGGAGCUAAUCCCAGAAAACGCAUCGUAGUCCGGAUCGUAGUCUGCAACUCGACUACGUGAAGCUGGAAUCGCUAGUAAUCGCGGAUCAGCAUGCCGCGGUGAAUACGUUCC
rnacentral:rRNA from 1 species